AGGAGGGAGACCAUUUGUUUUGUCCCAUUUUCUUCAUUUUCUCUUCAUCUUCAAGCUAAAUCAAAAGGGAGUGUUCUUAGGAGGAUCUAUCCAAGAAAACAAAUUAAAUAACAACUUAGAGAGUUAUAGAGCUUGAGUUACAAAGAGAAGAAGCUGGAAAUUGGAAGAGGAGGACAUGAUUUUUGUAAAGUUUUGCAAGAAUUCAUUGAAAUAAGUUAAAGUAGCAAAGGUAAGCAAUAUAACCUUUAGUAAUUUCAUUGUUCUCUCUUGUUCUUGCAUGAGGAGAAGAAAACCCCCAAGUUUAAAAUUCUAGGGUUCAUAUAAAUAUUUUGGGGGAGUAAUUGUUCAUGUGAAUUUUGAGAUUUAAUUGCAUGAAAUUGGCUUGAUUUGCUGAAAAAUAGAAAGAAUCAAUUGAUUUGAAACUAUGGGUUUUGGGAUUGCAACAGGGCAGUCACUUCGGCAGCCAUAGUUUGACUUUCCACCGUUGGAUUAAAUUGAUGUUUUGAUAUGUUAUUAUGCUCCAUGUCACCUACAUUCUGACCGGAGGGAUUGUAAAUAUUAGACUUUCUUUGAGGGCUGUCACCGGAGAAAUAUUUCUGGAAAAUCACAGUUGAAGACAGCCUUGUUCGUCAGCUGUUAUAUCAUUAUUUCACCGUUGGAUUGGUCUGGAUUUUGGAUAUGUUGGUCAUCAAGAUGUUAUAUAAAUUCGGAACGGUUUAGAUCGGAAAAUAACACUCCUACCAGAAAUUGUACUUCCUGAACAGCAGGUCUCCAAAUUUCAGGUCAGUCCGUUAUUGUUCUGAUAUCGGGAGUUUUAACCAUUGGAUGUAUGUUAAUUUUGGAUAUGUUAUUAUGCUCAAUGUCACCUACAUUCUGACCGGAGGGAUUGUAAAUAUCAGACUUUUUUUGUGGGCUGUCACCGGAGGAACAUUUCUGGAAAAUCACCCUUCAAGACAGCCUUGUUCGUCAGCCGUUAUGUACUUCCUGAAUAGCAGGUCUCUAAAUUUCAGGUCAGUCCGGUAUUGUUCUGAUAUCGGGAGUUUUAACCGUUGCAUGUAUGUUAAUUUUGGAUAUGUUAUUCUAAUGACGAUGAUGUAUAAUUCCACUGUUUGGAUGUAUUGAACUCUAAAUUUAAAUAAUGAUGUGUUAAGUUUGGUUUGAGAAAUAUUGAAUGAGAAUGAGGGUUAGCAUAAAAAGUAUGUUUUGGGACUAAGGAUAAUGGUAAUGGGUUUAAUGAUGAUGGUUGUGUUUGUGUUCUGUUUGAGUCAUGUUUGAUGUGUUGAUAAGUGAUGGUAUCGUUAAAUUCUAUAAAGAAUAGUGAUUGACUAAUAUUUUGGUUGUGUUAGAAUGGAAAAUCAUGUUGUAAGUUGAAUUAUGAUAUAAGGAAUCAUUUGAGUGUGCUUUUGGAAAAUUUUGGCAUGUGUAGUCAUUGAUAAAAUUUAAGUUAAAUUACAUUGUUUGGUGAUAGAUUAAAUGUCUUGGGACAAAAGAAAAUCGGUGAUGAAAAGUCAUGCCCUUUGGACAUUGAAGAUCAUUGAUGAAGAAUUGAAUUAAAUGGGCGUUUAAUUUAAAUGACAAGUACGAAAAUAAAAUACAUUCAUGGAAAUUGUUUACGGAAGUAUUUGAUUUUGUGAAUUUAUGAAUAUUAUGAAUAAAUCAGGAAGAUUCAAUAAUGAUUCAGGAUGUUAUAUUAAAAAUGUAGGAGAAGCAUUCACUCGACUUCUCAGGAGCUCGUAUAGUAGGAGCUAUGGAGGUGGGGCACAACAACAAGGAAGAAUAUGAGUGAAAUAAACGAGAAAUUAAAAAUGGAUUUGAGUACUUGACUAGGUUAAGAAUAUGAAUUACACUAAUAGACUUCGUUGAUGAUCAUUCCUCGAACUUGAUUAGCCGGUCCCGAAUGCGGAGGCUAAUGAUGUUAGUAAGGUUUACUAACAUCGGGCUUAAAUGUUGACAAAUGGUUGAUUAGCUUCGGCUAAUGGCAUCCGAAUGGAUGACCGGGAUGAAGGACUGAUUAGCUUCGGCUAAUGGCAUCCGAAUGGAUAGCCAGGACAAAUGAAUGAUUAGCUUCGGCUAAUGGCAUCCGAAUGGAUAGCCAGGACAAAUGAAUGAUUAGCUUCGGCUAAUGGCAUCCGAAUGGAUGGCCGGGACAAUGAAUGAUUAGCUUCGGCUAAUGGCAUCCGGAUGGAUGGGCGGGACAAAUGAAUGAUUAGCUUCGGCUAAUGGCAUCCGAAUGGAUGGCCGGGACAAAUGAAUGAUUAGCUUCGGCUAAUGGCAUCCGAAUGGAUGGCUGGGACAACGAAUGAUUAGCUUCGACUAAUGACAUCCGGAUGGAUGGCCGGGACAAAUGAAUGACUAGCUUUGGCUAAUGGCAUCCGAAGUGGAUGACCGGGGUGAGUGAAAAGUUAAUGAUAUUGACCGGUGCUGUCAAUAUCGGCAAUCACACGAACUUGAUUAGCCGGUCCCGAAUGCAAAGGCUAAUGAUGUUAGUAAGGCUUACUAACAUCAGUAUAAUCAUCCCUGAAAAUGAGGGAUACUGAACUUGAUUAACUAUUCGGGUGAGAAUAGUUAAUGAUAUUGACCGGUGCUGUCCAUAUCGACAAUCACACGAAACUUGACUAGUUAUUCCUGAAGUGAAAGCUAAUGAUGUCAAGAAUCUUGACAUCAACAUUUUCGGAAAUAUUCCAAGAUAUUCAUGUUAGAAAUAGUCGAUAACAUCAAUCAAUGGUAUUAAUUUUGACGUUUAUAAUAAACUUGAUUAGUCGAUCCUAAUAUGAGAGACUAAUAACACUAAUGAAAAUUUAUUAGUAUCAGCAUUCCCUUCCAAGUUUUAGGGGAGAGGUAAUAAUUAAAAAUAUUAAUGAAAUGGGGAUUGACAUCUUGAUAGGAUUAUUCAUUCGGCCUUGAAGAGGCGGAUAUUGAUUGGAAAUUAUGGAAUAAGAUGGGCGGAGGAACUAGUUACCCGGUGAUGGGCUAGUGGCAUUAGUUUUGUUUUCUAAUGACCGGAAUAUACAACUUGAAUUAAACUUACUUGUGUGGUGUUAAUAGUGUUAGGAUGACUGACUUGUUAGAUUAUAAAUGGAAUGUUGGAUGAUACCUAAUUGUUAAACAAAAAUGGUAAUUUGUGUUUAUAUCAUGGAUUAUUGGAGAAAAAAAAAGAAACUGAUGAGGAUCUAAUUCUUGUGAAGGAUGGAGGCAAUUAUCGUAUCGCUUGGGACGUGAGAGCAGAAGUUCAUUAACCAUGGUAGGUGUUAUACACUUAAGGAAUGCAAUGAUAUAUAUAUAUAUAUAUAUAUAUAUAUAUAUAUAUAUGAUUAAUUUUGAAUUGAUUGGAAAGAAUUGUAAUUUAUAUAAAUUGAGGAAUCAUGUCCUGCGCACAGGGAGGAUGUCAAAGAAAUUAUGACCAAUAAUGUAAAUAUAUUGUAUUAAGGUUUCAUGUUGUUACUGGCAUGAUAAGAAUUUAGUGAUAAUUAUAAUAGUGUAAUAAAAUGCCAAUAAUAGUCAUAUUAUUCGAAGAUGGAUCGGAUGUGAAUAUUGUGAGAAUGAUGGCAGGUUCCAUGAUAAUGAGAGAUUUUACUGAAAAUCUAAAGAAACAUUGGAAUGUGUUGAAAUGGGCACAAGAAAUAUGUAAGUGGAAUAUAUUUAUAAACUAAAAUUGGACCGAAAUCAUGAUGAGUUUGACAACUUAUAUGGAAAAGCCAUAAUCGAUAUAAUAGAUGUUGGGAUUGAAAUUGAUAUAAAGAGAUAGAGUAAGAGGGAGAGAAAGCACAUGGUAGAUAUUAUAAUGAAUUAAAUGCGCUCAUGAGGUGAAACAAGACACAAAAUGAAAAUGUUGAAUUAUUAUAAUGAAUUAAAUGCGCUCAUGAGGUGAAACAAGACACAAAAUGAAAAUGUUGAAUUAUUAUAAUGAAUUAAAUGCACUCAUGAGGUGAAACAAGACACGAAAUGAAAAUGUUGAAUGAUUCUAGGAAGGAUAGAUAGAGACGUAAUAAUGGAAGGAUAAAUGAGAAUUUCAAGGAACUAUGAUUGCAUAUCGUUGAAUAUAUGUUUAACUCGUGCAUGUAUUGUGUGAUUUUCCUUUUAUGCUAUAUUUACUAUAUACAUUAUGAAAUUGCAGGUCCUUCAGAUUCACGCCAGGAGUAGCGUUUCAGGUCCUCUAGUUUCCUUUUGCAUGAUUGAAUAAGAAGAUGAACAUUAAUGUAUUUUGUCAUUAAGGAACUAAAUGACUUAAUAUGUAAUAAUACUCUUUUUACAUUAAGUGUCGGGACAUAAAAAUGUAUUAUUCUGUAUUUGUAAUCUUAGAUUGCUUACUUGCAAUUAUUAUGAAUUACGUGUGUUAAUGGAAAAGAAAUGAGCAUGCGAAAUGUGAGGCAUGUAC
rnacentral:lncRNA from 1 species